rnacentral:rRNA from 1 species
CAGCCGCCACGGUAAUACGGAGGGUGCAAGCGUUAAUCGGAAUUACUGGGCGUAAAGCGCACGCAGGCGGUCUGUCAAGUCAGAUGUGAAAUCCCCGGGCUUAACCUGGGAACUGCAUUUGAAACUGGCAGGCUAGAGUCUUGUAGAGGGGGGUAGAAUUCCAGGUGUAGCGGUGAAAUGCGUAGAGAUCUGGAGGAAUACCGGUGGCGAAGGCGGCCCCCUGGACAAAGACUGACGCUCAGGUGCGAAAGCGUGGGGAGCAAACAGGAUUAGAUACCCCAGUAGUCCCUGUCUCUUAUAA